AGUGAACGCUGGCGGCAGGCCUAACACAUGCAAGUCGAGCGGCAGCGGGUCCUUCGGGAUGCCGGCGAGCGGCGGACGGGUGAGGAAUACAUCGGAAUCUGCCCUGUCGUGGGGGAUAACCUAGGGAAACUUAGGCUAAUACCGCAUACGACCUACGGGUGAAAGCGGGGGAUCGCAAGACCUCGCGCGACGGGAUGAGCCGAUGUCCGAUUAGCUAGUUGGCGGGGUAAAGGCCCACCAAGGCGACGAUCGGUAGCUGGUCUGAGAGGAUGAUCAGCCACACUGGGACUGAGACACGGCCCAGACUCCUACGGGAGGCAGCAGUGGGGAAUAUUGGACAAUGGGCGCAAGCCUGAUCCAGCCAUGCCGCGUGGGUGAAGAAGGCCUUCGGGUUGUAAAGCCCUUUUGUCCGGGAAGAAAUCGUCUGGGCUAAUACCCCGGGCGGAUGACGGUACCGGAAGAAUAAGCACCGGCUAACUUCGUG
rnacentral:rRNA from 1 species